rnacentral:rRNA from 1 species
AUGUGCAACAACCGGUUUCAGCAGGGCCUACCUUCGACAACACACCUAAGCUUGCAAGGCAGAACAACUCAAAGCUGUCAAUGCAAUAUGAAGCAUCGGUUCCUUGUUUUGACACUGAUCCAGGGCUUCAUACGUCAAGGUCUACCAGAAGCAGAGUUUCAUGAGCCAGGUGAGAAGAUUGUCGAGGCAAGUAGCAACGGUCACAACGGUCUUGUGAAGAAGGCAGUUAAGAAAAGAACAGCCCAGCCUCCUGAUGGUGUUCCAAAGAUGAAGAGGAUCAAGAUCGACCGAAAAGAUGAUGCUCUGUACCAACAGUAUGUGUUGAGUAGGUACAAAAUACCAAGAGCAAAGAAAGAUCAAGUAAUAGGGUUUCCACACAUCACUUCAGAACUUCCAUGGUUCAUUAAAGCCACGAGGUGA